rnacentral:rRNA from 1 species
AGAGUUUGAUCAUGGCUCAGAACGAACGCUGGCGGCAGGCUUAACACAUGCAAGUCGAACGCAUCCUUCGGGGUGAGUGGCAGACGGGUGAGUAACGCGUGGGAACGUGCCCUUCAGUUCGGAAUAACCCAGGGAAACUUGGGCUAAUACCGGAUACGUGCGAGAGCAGAAAGAUUUAUCGCUGAAGGAUCGGCCCGCGUCUGAUUAGCUAGUUGGUGGGGUAAUGGCCCACCAAGGCGACGAUCAGUAGCUGGUCUGAGAGGAUGAUCAGCCACAUUGGGACUGAGACACGGCCCAAACUCCUACGGGAGGCAGCAGUGGGGAAUAUUGGACAAUGGGCGCAAGCCUGAUCCAGCCAUGCCGCGUGAGUGAUGAAGGCCUUAGGGUUGUAAAGCUCUUUCAGUGGGGACGAUAAUGACGGUACCCGCAGAAGAAGCCCCGGCUAACUUCGUGCUAGCAGCCGCGGUAAUAC